rnacentral:rRNA from 1 species
AACGAACGCUGGCGGCAUGCCUAACACAUGCAAGUCGAACGAGACCUUCGGGUCUAUUGGCGCACGGGUGCGUAACGCGUGGGAACCUUCCCUUAGGUUCGGAAUAACUCCCCGAAAGGGGUGCUAAUACCGGAUAAUGUCUUCGGACCAAAGAUUUAUCGCCUUUGGAUGGUCCCGCGUUGGAUUAGCUAGUUGGUAGGGUAAAAGCCUACCAAGGCGACGAUCCAUAGCUGGUCUGAGAGGAUGAUCAGCCACACUGGGACUGAGACACGGCCCAGACUCCUACGGGAGGCAGGAGUGGGGAAUAUUGGAAAAUGGGCGAAAGCCUGAUCCAGCAAUGCCGCGUGAGUGAUGAAGGCCUUAGGGUUGUAAAGCUCUUUUAACCGGGAUGAUAAUGACAGUACCGGGAGAAUAAGCUCCGGCUAACUACGUG